rnacentral:rRNA from 1 species
AUGAACGCUAGCUACAGGCUUAACACAUGCAAGUCGCGGGGAAACGACAUCGAAAGCUUGCUUUUGAUGGGCGUCGACCGGCGCACGGGUGAGUAACGCGUAUCCAACCUGCCCAUCACUUGGGAAUAACCUUGCGAAAGUAAGACUAAUACCCAAUGACAUCCCACGAAGACAUCUGAAUGGGAUUAAAGAUUUAUCGGUGAUGGAUGGGGAUGCGUCUGAUUAGCUUGUUGGCGGGGUAACGGCCCACCAAGGCAACGAUCAGUAGGGGUUCUGAGAGGAAGGUCCCCCACAUUGGAACUGAGACACGGUCCAAACUCCUACGGGAGGCAGCAGUGAGGAAGAUUGGUCAAUGGGCGAGAGCCUGAACCAGCCAAGUAGCGUGCAGGAUGACGGCCCUAUGGGUUGUAAACUGCUUUUAUAAGGGAAUAAAGUGGGUCUCGUGAGACUUUUUGCAUGUACCUUAUGAAUAAGGACCGGCUAAUUCCGUG